GUGAGGUGGAAACGGAUAGAGCUAGCGUAUCUGGCUUGCAUUCAAUUGCUUGCGCUGUACCGGCCGAGUCGCUGCCUCCAGAUUGGGGUAGUACUUUGUGCGGUGUGGCUGCAAAUGAUGCAUUUGCAGGCGGAGUGCGCCGAGGCGUUCGGUGCAGCUGCAUGAGCUUAGCCCUGAGGCCAGCCCGCAAGGGCCUGGUACCCAGGCUGUGGGAAUGUUGUUUGCGCUGGGCGUAUCUGCUUGGGCAUGGCUUACGGACUCGGGUGGGUGCCGAGCUGGCAGUCAGUUACGGUCGCAUGCGACACGUGCUGGAGGCUGGUUCGGCCCUGUUCGGGCUCUCAUUGCCCGUCCUCGGUGUAAAAGCUGGUCAUCUAUCCGACCCGUCUUGAAACACGGACCAAGGAGUUUAUCGUGUGCGCGAGUCAGUGGGCGUUGAAAACCCAAAGGCGAAAUGAAAGUGAAGGUGUCCGCGAGGAGCUGACGUGCGAUCCUGUGUGCCUUGGCAUGCGGGCGCAGCAUGGCCCCAUCCCGACUGCUUGCAGUGGGGUGGAGGCAGAGCGUACGCGGUGAGACCCGAAAGAUGGUGAACUAUUCCUGAGCAGGAUGAAGCCAGAGGAAACUCUGGUGGAAGUCCGAAGCGAUUCUGACGUGCAAAUCGAUCG
rnacentral:rRNA from 1 species